rnacentral:rRNA from 1 species
UACGAAGGGGGCUAGCGUUGUUCGGAAUUACUGGGCGUAAAGCGCGUGUAGGCGGAUUGGUGUGUCAGAUGUGAAAUCCCUGGGCUCAACCCAGGAACUGCACCUGAAACUACCAGUCUUGAGUGGUGGAGAGGGAAGUGGAAUUCCUGGUGUAGAGGUGAAAUUCGUAGAUAUCAGGAGGAACACCAGUGGCGAAGGCGGCUUCCUGGACACCAACUGACGCUGAGACGCGAAAGCGUGGGGAGCAAACAGG